UACAGAGGUGGCAAGCGUUGUUCGGAAUUACUGGGCGUAAAGCGCGUGUAGGCGGUUGGUCAAGUCGGGUGUGAAAGCCUUGAGCUCAACUCAAGAAAUGCACUCGAUACUGGAUGACUUGAGGACCGGAGAGGAUAGUGGAAUUCCCAGUGUAGUGGUGAAAUACGUAGAGAUUGGGAAGAACACCAGUGGCGAAGGCGGCUACCUGGCCUGUUCUUGACGCUGAGGCGCGAAAGCUAGGGGAGCAAACGGG
rnacentral:rRNA from 1 species